GAACUCACGAUCCUCCUGCCUCAGCCUCCCAAGCUGCUGGGAUUACAGGUAUGCAUCACCAUGCCCGGCUUGGACAACAGUCUUUUAUCAGCUUCAUCUUUUGAAAAUGUCUUUCAGUUGGAAUUGUGGCUCAGAGGUAGAGCGCUCGCCUAGCAUGCAUGAGGCACUCGGUUCAAUCCUCAGCACCACAUAAAUAUAAAAUAAAGACAUUGUGUCCACCUAUAACUAAAAAAUUAAUGUUAAAAAAAGAAAAUGUUUUUUUCCCAGUGUUCUGGCUAUGAGGCAAGCAGUUUUGCUCUUGCCAGGUGCUUCUACCAUGAUGUGCUGCCUUGCCACAGGCACACAGGAAAAGGACCAACCAGUCCUGGACUGAAAGCUUCCAAAAUAAAUUAUACUAAUAAACUGGUUAUUUCAAGCAAUUGUAGGGACAGAAAGCUGUCUGGAUACAUCUGUCAUGUAUUUGUCAAAACUCAAAUAGAAGGUACACCACCAAGAGUGAACUCAAGCAGGGCUCAGUGGCUCAUGCUUGUAAUCCCAGCAGCUUAGGAGGCUGAGGCUGAGGAUCAUGAGUUCAAAGCCUGUCUCAGCAAAAGUGAGGCACUAAGCAACUCAGUGAGACCCUGUCUCUUAAUAAAAUACAAAAAAGGGCUGGGGAUGUGGCUCAGUGGUCGAGUGUCCCUGAGUUCAAUCCCGGUACCCACCCAAAAAAAGAGUGAACUCAGAAGAUAAACUAUGGACAUUGGGUGAUAAUGAUGAGGCAAUGUAAGUCCACUACUUGUUAACAAAUGUAUCUGUAGAUUCCCUCAGUUUUCCCUACUUGUUCUCCUAUCUGAUUGAGAAAUACAGUGCCAGUUGCACAAUUUUCCCAGCAGGCUUGAGCCUAAGCCAGAGCCUGGACAUUCCCAGGCACUGAGAAAAAUGUCUAGGUUGUUGCCCAAAACACUGAAAGAAACUAGCCCUGGCCCUGAGCCCAGUUUCUUAAAUCCUCAUGCACUCCACACCCCGCUGUCUGUGUAGGGCAGGCCUCAGUGGCACACUCCAGUUUCCUUCCAUCUUCUCAAGGAUAUCCUGCAGCCCUCCAGGUUCCCCCGAUCAGUGCUGUGAACUGGUCAGGCUGAUGUUUAGAGCUCCUUUCUUUGGAAUCCCACGGGCCUCCUCUCAGGAUGAUUUGAACCACUCCAUUGUGGGAACUCCCCUGCUCCCAAGUUUGGGGUGACUACAGCCCUGGCUUGGGUGGGAGGUUGACAGUGGGAAAAGAACUAUCUGGGGGUUGGGGAUGUGGCUCAAGCAGUAAUGCGCUCGCCUGGCAUGCGCGGGGCACUGGGUUCGAUCCUCAGCACCACAUAAAAAUAAAAUAAAGAUGUUGUGUCUGCCGAAAACUGAAAAAUAAAUAUUAAAAAUUCUCUCUCUCUCUCUUAAAAAAUAUGUUGUUUUUUUUUAAAAAAGAACUAUCUGUG
rnacentral:lncRNA from 1 species